UGGGGAAUAUUGGACAAUGGGCGCAAGCCUGAUCCAGCCAUGCCGCGUGAGUGAUGAAGGCCCUAGGGUUGUAAAGCUCUUUCACCGGUGAAGAUAAUGACGGUAACCGGAGAAGAAGCCCCGGCUAACUUCGUGCCAGCAGCCGCGGUAAUACGAAGGGGGCUAGCGUUGUUCGGAUUUACUGGGCGUAAAGCGCACGUAGGCGGACUAUUAAGUCAGGGGUAAAAUCCCGGGGCUCAACCCCGGAACUGCCUUUGAUACUGGUAGUCUUGAGUUCGAGAGAGGUGAGUGGAAUUCCGAGUGUAGAGGUGAAAUUCGUAGAUAUUCGGAGGAACACCAGUGGCGAAGGCGGCUCACUGGCUCGAUACUGACGCUGAGGUGCGAAAGCGUGGGGAGCAAGCAGG
rnacentral:rRNA from 1 species